rnacentral:lncRNA from 1 species
GUACAACUCAUUGUUUCUAAUGAUGAUGAAGUAGACUAAGAGCCUGUGAGCAAGCCCUGUCAGAAAGGGUAACAAGUCACAUUGGUAUAAGUGGCCUGAACUGGAACAGUAGUGUUGCUACAGUUUGCAAAACGCCCUCAUUUCUCACAAAUCUGAGACUCACCCUGCUAAUAUGAAAACUGAACUCUGUUAUUUUGCCCUCCACAAAGUGCUUAUUACCUAUUUGGAACUUUGUAAUCUUUACCAGGCACUUUGGGAGUCACACAGCUGAGGAUCCUCAUUUACUUACACACACAGUUGCCUAAUGUGCUUUAUAAGUCACGUAUAAUUACAGUGAAUGCAGCUUUCUAAAGAUACACUUGUGGGAAGCGUGGCUUCUUCAACUUCUAGAAAAAUGUUCACAUGCAGGAAAAAGGGUUCCUUUGACAAUAUCUAAAGUCUUCUUCAGACUCAGAAAUAAUUUAUCUUUACCUUUAAAAUAUCCAUUUCAAAGGAUGCAGACAUACUGAAGGUUGCUAAGGGCUGUUUCCUGGCUUGGGAAUCGGGCUGAACUGGCUGAUCUAACAGUUCGCUGAGAUCCCAUUAGAACGAUACCACUUCCCAGAGACAACGGGAGUCAUGAGGUCUUCGAGUGGGGAGGAUGGUGUCCCCCACUGUGUGGGGCUAACAUUGGAUUCAUACACAAGCCGAUCGAUCCAUGCUGGACAAAGAACAAGCCCCUGCGUCUCACCGUCAUGGUCACCAUUAAAGGGCUGGAUUUGCUUUCUGUUGUCAAGAUCCUUGAAGGGUUCCACAGAGUGGGUGGGGUCGGAAGAGGAGGAGCAAGGCAGUAGGUGGGCUCUUUCCUCCACCCCAGCCCAUCUCUCCUGUACAUCCUGGUCUUUCUUGAACUGGAAGGUCCUCCUACACCCGUCUGUCAGUGGCACCGUAAGCUGGAUAGAGCAGAUUUGGCCAACCCCAACCAAUUCAUUAUUUACAUUUUGAGUCUGCAGAUGGUCUGAGAUACCUAGAACAGUGAAUUACAGCUGCCUCUAUCUUCCUCAUUUCUAGAGGUAAAUGAUUCUCAAAAUGGAAACUUGGGGAAUUAAAAAAAAUCAUUUAAUUAUUUUACAAUCACUUUUCAUUUUAAGUUCUCUUAUUUGAAGUCUGCCUGGAAAUUCAUGCUUAAAAUGUCCUUGAGGGGCACCUGGGUGGCUCAGCCAGUUAAGCAUCUCUUGAUUUUGGCUCAGGUCAUGAUCUCACAGUUUGUGAGUUCGAGCCCCACAUCGAACUCUGUGCUGACAGUGCAGAGUCUGCUUGGGAUUCUCUCUGUACCUCCCUUUCUGCCACUCCCCUGCUCUCACUCUCAAAAUAAAUAAACCUAAAAAAUUUUUUAAAUGCUCCUU